AUUUAUUGUUGUUUAUUUUUAUAGGUAAAUUAAUGGUUAUUAUUAAAUAUAUUUAUAUGGUAUUUAUUAAUUUUUAAUAUUGAGUUUUUAGAUGGAUAUUACUGGUACCAAGAAAAUCAACAGAUCUUUACAAGUUGUGAUUAUUCUACACGUCCGAAAUUCCACCAAAAAAAAAGAAAAAAAAAUGUUAUAUAUAUUUAUCAAUUUAUUGACAACAUUAUUUUAUUUAAUAUUUAUAUUUUUUUUUCCAGAUUAUUUAUAUUAUUGUAUCGUACUUUUUUUUUAUGUUCAAAAAUCUUCAAUAAGAUGCUUGGAAAUAUUUUUUUUUUAAUUUUUUUUUAAAUGUAUAUUUAGCUGAUUGAUCGAAGAUUUAAAAUCAAGGUCCCAGGUUAUUUCAGGUAACACUUGAUUUUAAUUGAAAAAAAAAAAAUAAAAGAAAAAUUAAUUGAAAAAUAUCAUAUUUAGAAUAGUGUCGUGUUAAAAGAUAUAAAAAAUAAUUAAAUUCUUUUUUAAUUUUGUAAAUAAAAUCGUUGUAAAAAAGAUAAAUCAGUGUCGUCACAUGAAGACGUGAAUCCGCGGUCGUGAAUAUCAUCCAACACACAAUCAUCUUGGAUAAGCCAUUAACAUCGCUGGAGGGAUUUGAAAAAAGGAUAAUGCUGAUAAAAUAAACAACUUCAAGUUGACUGGCAGAAUGAAUGAUAAGCGAUAUGUUUAUUAGUAAAAAAAAAAAAAAAAUUGCUAA